AUGGAAUCCUCCAUCCAUAUAUCAUUUCCGGCCGUCAACGAGAGCAAGCGCUCCGGAUCCGCUCCAUAUCUCUCUCUGGCCGUCCACCAGAAAGCUCGUGGAUCUCAGAAGCUUGCCGGUCGACGAGCAGGCCGGCCGGUUGCUCCCCGGCCAGGUCCGCUCCAAAGCUUCUUUCCCUGCAAUCAGCAGGUCAUCGAUCGACCUCUUGGACCGCAGGGAGUACUGGAAAAUGGGGAAGAGAUUGCUCUCAAAAAGCUACAUCACAUGCCUGGGCUUGACGACACACAAUUUAGGAAUGAGUUUAAUCACCUUAUGAGGGCCCAGCAUCCAAAUAUUACCCAAUUGGUUGGCUACUGCUAUAAUCUAGGUCAUCAGCGCAUUAAGUACGGUGGUGAAUAUAUUUUCGCCCUUGUGGAAGAAAGAGUACUCUGCUUUGAAUACUUGCAAGGUGGAAGCCUUGACAAUCAUAUUUCUGAUGAGUCGUGUGGACUCGAUUGGCCCACACGUUUCAAAAUUAUCAAGGGAGUCUGUGAGGGAUUAAAUUACCUACAUAAUGGAUGCAAAGAUCCAAUUUACCAUCUUGACUUGAAACCUGCGAAUGUUUUACUGGACAAGAACAUGUUCCCGAAAAUUGGAGACUUUGGUUUGUCAAGACUCUUUCCUUUAUCACAAACCUAUAUAACAAGCAAAAUUUUAGGAACACCUGGAUACAUGCCACCAGAAUACAUUGAGAGACGCGAAAUCACAUCGAAGUAUGAUGUAUUCAGUUUGGGUGUUAUAAUUGUGCGGAUAAUAGCAGGAGAUGAGGGCUACUCCAAAUGUGCAUAUAUGUCUUUGGAAGAUUUUCUUGAGCAUGUACAUGGAAACUGGGGAAAACGGCUGAAGGAAACAAUGGCGUUGCAUACAUCAGAGCAAGUUAAGACGUGCAUUGAAAUAGCGUUAAGGUGUAUGGAGGUUGAUCGUGAGAAAAGGCCUACUAUAGCAGAGAUUGUCGAUGAACUAAACUUGGUUGAUACUGCAGAAAGUUUGCCUACAGGCCAGGUCGCCAACUUCCGAAGCAAGCAAAACUCAAACUCAGAGCGCCGAGGCAGAAUCGUAUUCUCUGCCACCUACAGGCCCCCGGUGCCAUUCGACAUCUUCUCCUGCCCUGUCUCACCUUGGUCCACAGAUGAUGAGCUCCACCUCACCGAUGGCGUGUCUGACAACUACAACGGGAGCCCCAUCCCUCCCGCCGCGCUGAAGACCCUCCUCAAGAGCCCGAAGCUGGCAAACGAGGUUGAUGUUACCGACGCGGAUGUCGACACCGGCGACGUCUCUGGCCUGGUCUUCGUCUCCGAGAGGGACAAUGGCCUUGAGACGCUCUACAUUGCCAUAUGCUUUAAUGCUGAUAACAAGGUCAAGGUAUUCUCUCUUGCUGACAUCUUUGGAGCCGCCGACUUCAGCAGCAUGCGCCUGGAGGACAGUGGCUGCAUCGGCGGCGGCUACCGCGUGGGAUCUCACAGCGUCGACCACUAUCUCAUCUUCGUCUCCACAAAGGAGCCUGUGCAUGCACGUCGUGGCCCUUGGACCAUCGUGUACAAAACCAACCUUACAACAGGCAUGACGGAGCGCCUCACGCCACAAGGGAUAUUUGAUUUGAGUCCGGCCGUUUCGCCCUCGGGGAAGACGGUAGCAGUGGCGUCAUUUCAGAGCAAGAGUUGGAACGGCGACAUUGAGAACCUGAAGACUGACAUCUACGUGAUGAACUUGGAUAGCGACCAGUGUCAGGGCCAGGGGCGCAAGCUAAUCAUCAAGAAUGGCGGCUGGCCAUCCUGGGGCAGCGACGACAUCAUCUUCUUUCAUCGACUCACCAGUAUGGCCCUUCUAUCGAGCCUGAUUGAAACAUUUUGGGCUGUGUUCCGGUACGACAUCAACACCGAGGAGACCGUCCAGGUUACUCCGGGAGGAUUGGAUGCGGUGACUCCUGCGGCCAUAAGCGAGACCAAAGUAGCGGUGGCGACCAUCCGCCAAGAGCACAAGUCCAGCAACGUCCGUGUGCAGGCACAGUACCGGCACAUUGAGAUCUUUGAGAUGGAUGUGCCGGGGCUGCCACCGGUGCAGAUCACCCGUAAGAUGAGGCAAAAAGGCGAUCACUACAACUCUUUUGUGCUGGAUGGUGGGGGCCGCAUUGGAUACCACCGCUGCAGGAGUGAGAGUGACCUUGUGCAGAAUGGAGACGACGUCCCUCAGAACUUGCACAGGCUAGAGUCCCCCAUGAGGGACGUCGGUUUACUUCGGGUAUCUGGCAUGUUCCCGACCAUUUCGAAGGACGGCUCCAAGCUCGCCUUUGUUAACAGUGAGUUCAAAGCAGUGUUUGUAGUGGACAGCCAAGGGCUGCGUAUCAUAUACGAGGAAAGGAGCCGAAACUGCGUCUUCUCCCCUGUGUGGAACCAGAACCUCGACAAGGACAUCCUCUAUGUGUGCAUAGGCACCACCUUGAACUCUCACCGACUUGAGAUCUUCGCCAUCUGCAAUGCCUCUGGCCCUGCAACAGGGCAAAAUGUCGUAAGACUCACCAUUGGUGGGUACAACAACGCAUACCCGUCGAGCAACCCAGAUGGCGACAAAUUUGUCUUCAGGUCAACAAGGGAUGGAUUGGCGCCGCACAAGAACCUGUACAUAAUGUUGCACAGUGAUAACGAGCAAUUUGGGGAACAUUCGAAGAAGUGGCACAGACAUAAUGAAGAAUUCGAGGAACCUUGGCAGACGCGGCUGACGAAAGGGAAGUGGACAGAUACCCAUUGCCAGUGGUCCCCAAACGGGGACUGGAUCGUCUUCUCAUCGACGCGCGACAACCGGCUGGACCCGAGGCACUUCUCCGUAUACCUGGUGAAGGCGUUCGACCCGACGGUGUUGAUCAGGGUGACGAGCAGUGGGGGUGAUUUCGGCGGUCAAAUAAACCACCCAGUGUUCAGCCUGGACGGGAGGAGCAUAGCCGUGACAGUGCAUCUCGUGGCGGCUUCCGUGGACCCGGUCUCACUGCCGAACUUCAAGCAUGGAGUGCGGCGCUAUAGCGACAUCUUCGCUGUGGACGUCCACCCAGACGACGAGGAGAAGAAAAUGAAGAUAAACGUGAAGUUGAAGUUGAAGAACAAGACGGAGAAGGAAAAGUUGAUGGGAUUCCGCUUCCGCCGGAUCACGCACAGCAGGUACGAGUGCGGGACGCCAGCCUGGACGAUGGCCUUCGCCGCGACGGACACAAACGCGCUGUGGAAUAUGUUGCCAGACAUGGAGCAUAUGUACGCACUGGGUGUCUGUACUAGAUCCGCAAGCCCUUGA
rnacentral:rRNA from 1 species